rnacentral:rRNA from 1 species
CGGCGGACGGGUGAGUAACGCGUGGGUAACCUGCCUCAUACAGGGGAGUAACAGUUAGAAAUGACUGCUAAUACCGCAUAAGCACACAGUACCGCAUGGUACAGUGUGAAAAACUCCGGUGGUAUGAGAUGGACCCGCGUCUGAUUAGCUGGUUGGCGGGUAACGCCCACCAAGGCGACGAUCAGUAGCCGACCUGAGAGGGUGACCGGCCACAUUGGGACUGAGACACGGCCCAA